rnacentral:rRNA from 1 species
AGGGUUUGAUUAUGGCUCAGGAUGAACGCUGGCUACAGGCUUAACACAUGCAAGUCGCGGGGCAGCAUGCGGGUUGCUUGCAACCCACGAUGGCGACCGGCGCACGGGUGAGUAACGCGUAUCCAACCUGCCCCUUCCCCCGGGACAGCCCGUAGAAAUGCGGAUUAAUCCGGGAUGCGGUGCGGUGACGGCAUCAGAGCCGCACGAAAGGCUUCUGCCGGGAAGGGAUGGGGAUGCGUCCGAUUAGCUUGACGGCGGGGCAACGGCCCACCGUGGCGACGAUCGGUAGGGGCCCUGAGAGGGGAAUCCCCCACAUUGGGACUGAGACACGGCCCAA